CCGAUUUUUUUGGUCUGAGUUCUCUCUGGUGAUUGAUCUUACAAUGAAAAGAUGGUUGAUGUCUUCUUCCCUCUCUUGCAAUGUCUAUCAAGGUUGGUGAUGCGUUUGCGACAUAUUGGAAUGCUCCAAUAGAUCUGGUUUGGCAAGCAAUAUUCGUUACAACUGUAUUUAUUUACUAGGUAUAAGAGAAGCAUAUCCUAUGCUCGGUCAUCAUCCUCGCGUUAAUCUCAUCUCUCUCUCUCUCUCUCUCUCUCAGCUCAUUGUUGUUGUUCUUCUUACUGCAACUCAUUCACGACAUGAUGCAACUGGAGCAUUGUCACAGCCAUUGGACGAGCAGGGAGGCACAACUAUCGUUGCUAAAAUUAGUGGUUAUUCCAGCAUGACUUGGUUACUUGCCUAUAAAAUACGACAAGAUUGAAGCAAAGCUUGUACAUGAUCAGCUUUGUCCAAUAGCUGAACGGUAUCUGUUCUCUUCUCUUUGCAUCACAGCAACAUUCAUGUUCUUUUUACAGUUUAUAAAAUUUGUGUUUAUGUGCAGAUCGGACACACAAUUUCUUUGACCUCAUAGUUAGUAUUUUCCCAAAAUAGUUUCUAUAUUUGGCAAGUGUGGUGUAGUUCUUCGACAUGGACAAACUUGACACUAUCAAAGCCUAGGACAACUACAGAAAAAUAGGAAAUUGUUCUGUGAGAAUCAAUCAGCCUGCAUGGAGAAUUCUCGCUACAAACUUUGGCAAGGACAAGAGAGGUGGAUGUGUUCACUAGGAGGCUUUUAGAUAUUCCAUCAAAGAUGAUGCAACUAAAUAAGAAAGAAGUACUGUACAUCUUACUUUAGGUUCCAUUCACAGGUAAAAUUAUAUAAGUUUAUCAUAUGUUGUGAAAACAUUGGCGAGUUAAGACUAGAAAUCUUCCCUGCCUAGGUGUGCCCUUAAUGAAUUGAUCCGUUGUCGGCUAUAGCGAGAUCUGGGUCCUUGGUUUUUCCAAGGAAAACCUGAUUGAGCAUGUAACAUGAACAUGAACGGCAGUUCCGUAGGACACCCACACUCGAUGAAAUGGAUACCCCUUGCUCAUCUCAUUCAAGUUAUGAGCACACAGUAGGAUUUAUGCAUUUCACAUACUGUCAGCUGUUCUGUACUAAUUGAUUUGUCUUAAAUUUCCUGUUCCCAGGACAACUUUCAGAAUUAGCUGAUCCAUUUCGAGCUCCUGUGAUCGAACCAAAACAUUUGUCGUCGCAGGAGUAUUCCGGGUGAACUUCAAGAGUGCUGUGUUCAUCAUCCAAAAUGCAUUCCAGUGGGUCCUCAUAAUUACCGGGGUGAUUGGUUCAUUCAUCUUCUACUUCUUCGUUUGAUUCUUCAAGUACAAGAGGCUGAUGCCCCUGUAGAGUAUAAGCUCUUCAUAUAGCAGUCUCAACCUUCUAUUCCCUCUGUUAAGACUUGCUACCCUUGGAAUGCUGCGGAAACAAGCACAUAAGGAUUGCUACUGUGUUCUCUAUACAAUCAAUACUGAUUGCUGAUUUCUUUCUUGAUGAGAUGAGAAACCCACUUGGUUCAUCAAAACUGAUUUUGAUGUUUCCAAGUUGUAUGUACCAAAGAAGACUGGAAGCCAUUGAUCCUUCUGGACACUAUCCGGACCCUUGGUUCUCUUGUCAACUGAAUGUAGUAGUGUUUCCAGGGUCCUGACAGAUUAUUGCUUCCCUUCUCUGUUACCAUAGUAGUGUUCAUUAAAUAGAUAUAUUUCUACUCAUGGAAGAUCUGAGUAAACUAUGUGUUCUGUUCAUAUAUUUAGUUUACUAGUGCAGAUUGUUGGUU